UCAUUUCAUUGGUUUAAAUAUCACCCAAAGUGGCGAGACUCCGAGUGUCCUCACAACUAGAGCUGUUUCGCGCGCUGUUUCGCAGCCAGAGGACCUCACUGCUUGAAGUCGUUCCUCCUCAGACAGUUUUGAAAGCGUGUAAUGUGCUGCGACAGAGCAGAACGACAAUGAAGAGGUUAACCACACCUUUCAAAGCGGACAUCUCCUCAGUAGCCUCUUGACCAACUUUGUUGCGCAUUAAGAUGCGCCCGACAGAAGAGGAGUUGGAUGAUGCACUUUUUGCACUCUCGUUGACAGACAGUUUCCAGUGAGCUUUUGCUGAGUGCACCGUCAGAAAUUAAGGGCCUCCUAUGUAUUUAAGAAAUAAUCCAACUCGGUAUUGGCUGAGCUCAUCAAUACUUUAAACUUUACUGGGAUUCCUUGAGGAUUUGCUGCGUUCACCAUGACUGUUCGUCUAUCACGCAUCCAACUGGCCCUGUUCUUUAUCUUGCUCUGUCCGGUCAAUAUCAUCGGACUCUGGUGGGCGGUCGGCAGUCCGCUGGUGAUGGACCCCAACAGCAUUUGCAGGAAGGCGAAGCGUCUGGCGGGGAAGCAGGCUGAGCUGUGCCAGACUCAGCCAGAGAUUGUCAGUGAGGUGGCCAAAGGAGCCAGGCUGGGCAUCAGGGAGUGCCAGUACCAAUUCAGGUACCGCCGGUGGAACUGCACUAGCCACAACAAGUACUUUGGCAAAAUACUGCAGCAAGAUAUCCGGGAAACAGCGUUUGUUUAUGCCAUCACAGCGGCUGGUGUGGCCCAUGCUGUGACCCAGGCCUGCAGCAUGGGAGACCUCCUGCAGUGUGGCUGUGAGGCGACCAGAAAUAGAGCACCUCCAAGACCGUCUCCAACCUCCUCCUCUGGGGACGGAGUCAAGUGGGAGUGGGGGGGCUGCGGGGAUGAUGUAGAGUUUGGAUAUGAAAAGUCAAAACAGUUUAUGGAUGCCAAGAGGAGACGGGGGAAGAGCGACAUCAGGACACUCAUUGACCUGCACAACAACGAGGCUGGGCGACUGGCGGUAAAGCUCUACAUGCGGACAGAGUGCAAGUGCCAUGGAUUGUCAGGCUCAUGCACCUUGCGAACAUGCUGGAAAAAGAUGCCACAUUUCCGUGAGGUAGGCGACCGCCUGCUGGAGCGCUUCAACGGCGCUUCCAAAGUGAUGGGCGGCAACGAUGGCAAGACCCUGAUCCCUGUUGGCCAGAAUAUAAAGCCGCCAGAUAAGCAGGAUCUGAUCUACUCUGACGAGUCGCCCGAUUUCUGCCUUGCAAAUCGGAAAACUGGUUCUCUGGGGACACGGGGGCGCAUGUGCAAUAGCACAGCCAUGGACAUCAGUGGGUGUGACCUGCUGUGCUGUGAGCGCGGCUACCGGGAGGAAACAGUGGUGUUUGAGGAGAACUGUCUGUGUCGUUUCCACUGGUGUUGUGUGGUCCAGUGCAAAAAGUGCUUGGUCCGAAAAGAGCUUAGUCUCUGUCACUGAUGAACUGAUGAACUAAGGUUGAGAACAACCUAUAUUACUUGGUUAAUUAUAAUUACUUCUGUUACUUUUUGAGGUUUUUGCUUUAGUUUGGCUAGUGUGAGAGAAGGAUAGUGUUUGGACUUUCAUAUUGAUCCUUUUGUUUCUGUCUUUGCACCAGUCACAGUCAGAGAAUGCCCCAAAAAGGUUCAUUUAAAAUAGUAUUUUGUCCCAGUUCUGGCUGUUGGGUCCCCAGGAAUUUUGACAGACAUAAGAGGUGCAACCACAUGGAAACAAUGGCAAGGGGAAAUAAAGUGUGGACUUGGCCUGACAGCAAAGACUGUUAUUUAUAUAAAGAUAUGAUGACAAGACUACUCCGUUCCAUCACUCUCAGAAGCACUUUGGAUAUGAUGGCUGCCGUGGACUUCCUCAAUAACUUGGCAAUAAAACCUUUUGGGG